rnacentral:tRNA from 1 species
GGGGCUAUAGCUCAGCUGGGAGAGCACCAGCAUGGCAUGCUGGGGGUCGGCGGUUCGAACCCGCCUAGCUCCACCA